UGGGGAAUAUUGGACAAUGGACGAAAGUCUGAUCCAGCAACGCCGCGUGGUGGAUGAAGGCCUUAGGGUUGUAAACACCUUUUAUUAGGGAAGAUAAUGACGGUACCUAAUGAAUAAGCAUCGGCUAACUUCGUGCCAGCAGCCGCGGUAAUACGAAGGAUGCUAGCGUUACUCGGAAUUACUGGGCGUAAAGAAUAUGUAGGCUGACUGUUAAGUUGAUAGUGAAAUCCCCGAGCCUAACUCGGGAACUGCUCUCAAAACUGAUAGUCUAGAAUAUGGUAGAGAGUAAGGGAAUUCUUGGUGUAGGGGUAAAAUCCGUAGAUAUCAGGAGGAAGACCGGAAGCGAAAGCGCUUACUUGGGCCAUUAUUGACGCUGAGAUAUGAAAGCGUGGGGAUCGAACAGG
rnacentral:rRNA from 1 species